rnacentral:rRNA from 1 species
CCUAAGGUAGCGAAAUUCCUUGUCGGGUAAGUUCCGACCUGCACGAAUGGCGUAACGACUUCCCCACUGUCUCGACCAGGAGCUCGGCGAAAUUGCAGUACGAGUAAAGAUGCUCGUUAAGCGCAGAAGGACGAAAAGACCCCGGGACCUUUACUAUACCUUGGUAUUGGCGUUAGGCGCGGAUUGUGUAGCAUAGGCGGGAGGCUUCGAAGCGGGUGCGCCAGCAUUCGUGGAGCCGCAAGGUGAAAUACCGCUCUGUUCUCGUUUGACGUCUAACCUCGACAAGUCAUCCUUGUCAGGGACAGUGCCUGGCGGGUAGUUCAACUGGGGCGGUUGCCUCCCAAAGAGUAACGGAGGCGCUCAAAGGUCCGCUCAGCCCGGUUGGCAAUCGGGUGUCGAGUGUAAUCGCACAAGCGGGCUUGACUGCGAGGACGACGGUCCGAGCAGGGACGAAAGUCGGAGAUAGUGAUCCGGUGCCGGCGCACGGGCGCGGCAUCGCUCAACGGAUAAAAGGUACCCCGGGGAUAACAGGCUGAUCAUUCCCAAGAGUCCAUAUCGACGGGAUGGUUUGGCACCUCGAUGUCGGCUCGUCGCAUCCUGGGGCUGGAGCAGGUCCCAAGGGUUCGGCUGUUCGCCGAUUAAAGCGGCACGCGAGCUGGGUUCAGAACGUCGUGAGACAGUUUGGUCUCUAUCCUCUGCGCUCGUUGGAAUCCUGAGGAGGCCUGCCCAUAGUACGAGAGGACCUGGGUGGACGAACCUCUGGUAUGCCGGUUGUCGCGCCAGCGGCACGGCCGGUUGGCUACGUUCGGGAGGGAUAACCGCUGAAAGCAUCUAAGCGGGAAGCCUGCUCCAAGAUUAGGAUUCCAUGGAUCUUCGAGAUCCUGUAGCCCGCAUGUUGAACACGUGUUUGAUAGGCCGGAGGUGGAAGCCCCGUGAGGGGUGGAGCCGACCGGUACUAACGGGCGACGGCGACACAAC